rnacentral:sRNA from 1 species
AUGGUCUCAGAUAUCGCCAAAUACAAGGUAUACAGUACGCUUGAUUUACGUAGUGCCUAUCACCAAAUUCCGUUACGUGAACAUGAAAAGAAGUAUACAGCUUUUGAAGCCAAUGGCAGUUUGUAUCAAUUUCGGCGAGUCCCCUUUGGCGUUACGAACGGAGUUGCUUGUUUUCAAAGGGUAAUUGACCGUCUAGUGGCCGAAAACAAAUUAGAAGCAGUAUUUGUGUAUAUCGAUAAUAUCACAAUAGGCGGAAUGGACCAAACCGAACAUGACGAAAACUUACGUAGAUUUCUUGAUGUUGCCGACAAACAUCAGCUAACAUUUAAUGAGGACAAAUGUGUGUACUCUGUCGAGUCAGUUGAUCUACUUGGAUAUACCAUCAGUCAAGGUGUUUUACGACCUGACCCUGAUCGAAUGAAGCCGCUAAGGGAACUCCCUGUUCCCCACAGUCCUAAAUCAGUGAAAAGAGCCAUGGGAAUGUUUUCGUAUUAUAGUCAAUGGAUACCAAGAUUCUCAGACAAAAUCAAACCUUUAGCUAACGCUACUUCUUUUCCGUUAGACUCUAUUGCAGUGAAAGCAUUCGAUGAUUUGAAAUCCGAUCUUGAAAACGCAAGCAUAAGUGCAAUUGAUGAAGCUAUUCCUUUUGUCGUAGAAACCGAUGCCUCGGAUUCUGCAGUAGCCGGAAGUCUCAAUCAGGGUGGAAGGCCUGUUGCUUUCUUUUCGAGAACUUUAAAUGCUCAUGAAUUAGGACACUCAUCUGUAGAAAAGGAAGCAUGUGCCAUUAUAGAUGCUGUUCGCAAAUGGAGACACUUACUUAGUGGGAAACAUUUCACUCUUGUCACUGAUCAGGAAGCAGUUUCUUAUAUGUUUGAUUCAAAGAAGCACGGUAAAGUGAAAAAUGACAAAUAAUUCGAUGGAGAACUGAAUUGAGCUGUUACAGCUAUGAUAUAAAAAUAUCCGUCCUGGACAAGACAAUGCAUCAGCCGAUUGUUUUUCUCGAGCUUACUGCUCAUCCAUCAGCUCCGAUUCUCUUUCUGAACUACAUAGUGCACUUUGCCAUCCGGGCAUCAAUCGACUUCUUCACUUCGUCCGUUCAAAGAACUUACCUUUCUCAGUUGAUGACGUCAAGAGAACAAUCAAACAGUGUGAGAUUUGUGCAAAAGUAAAACCUCAGUAUGCUAAACCGAAUGCAUCACCUCUUGUGAAAGCUACACAACCAUUUGAACGCUUAAGCAUUGAUUUUAAAGGACCACUGCCGUCUGUUAGUACAAAGAAGUAUAUUCUUACCGUUGUUGACGAAUACUCAAGAUUCCCGUUUGCCUUUCCUUGUUCCGAUAUGACAAGCGCAACAGUUAUUCAGUGUUUACGACAGUUAUUUGCUCUUUUUGGUAUGCCUGCUUAUAUUCACUCGGACCGUGGUCAAUCUUUCAUGAGUGCCGAACUCAAAACUUUUCUACAAUCGCAUGGAGUAGCUACUAGCAGGACAACGCCAUACAGCCCACAGAGCAAUGGGCAAUGUGAACGCUAUAACGGUAUCAUCUGGAAAGCCGUGACACUAGCAUUAGAAUCUUUGGGACUUAAAGAGACGCAGUGGGAGAGUGUAUUGCCAGAUGCACUGCACUCUGUUCGAAGUUUGUUAUGUACAUCAAUAAACUGUACUCCACAUGAAAGGUUUUUCAAUUUUACAAGAAGAUCAUCAUCUGGCCAAUCUAUUCCGUCGUGGUUAGCCAAUCCUGGACCAAUUUUAAUGAAAAAGCAUGUGCGUGCGACUAAAUAUGAUCCUCUCGUCGAGGAAGUAGAUCUUUUGGAAGCUAAUCCAACUUAUGCUCAUGUUAGAUUGCCUGAUGGACGCGAAACUACUGUAUCAGUCCGACAUCUAGCACCAAGAGGACAAUCAAUAAGCAAUGACAAUCUUGAUCAUUCCGUUUUGAACGAUCAUACAACUAUGGACAUUUCCGAAACCGAUGUUGAAAAUACAACACAGGAAGCUACCAACAACACGGACAACACUAUGGAAACAUCUCCCGUUAUUAGACGUUCUACACGUGAAGUUAAGAAACCAUCUAGAUUUGGAUUUGACGAUUAA